rnacentral:rRNA from 1 species
AAUUCCGAUAACGAACGAGACCUUAACCUGCUAAAUAGCCAGGCCGGCUUUCGCUGGUCGCCGGCUUCUUAGAGGGACUGUCAGCGUCUAGCUGACGGAAGUUUGAGGCAAUAACAGGUCUGUGAUGCCCUUAGAUGUUCUGGGCCGCACGCGCGCUACACUGACAGAGCCAGCGAGUUUUUCUACCUUGGCCGGAAGGUCUGGGUAACCUUGUGAAACUCUGUCGUGCUGGGGAUAGGGCAUUGCAAUC